rnacentral:lncRNA from 1 species
AUUGCUGCUUCAUCAGUUGCCCGAUCCUUACCAUACACUACCUCUAAUUUCCUUAAAUAAGGAAAUGAUUUCUUACGAAGGCCUAUAGCAUUAGGAUGGCUCUACAUUCAAUAUAUAAAAAAAAAUAUCAUGCCUAAAAUUGCAUACAAAGGAAAAGAAUUCCUAAUGAAUCUGAUUACAUAUAAUAAACUAUUUCUUCUUAUCUUAACCCACGGGUCAUACAAGUCCUUAUCUGCACGAAUAUACAUGUUUUGUGCAUCCCAUG